rnacentral:rRNA from 1 species
AGUCGAGCGGUAACAGGCAUUUUGAUUCCGCUUGCUGAAUCUCGCGCUGACGAGCGGCGGACGGGUGAGUAACGCGUAGGAAUCUACCUAGUAGAAGGGGAUAGCCCGGGGAAACUCGGAUUAAUACCGUAUACGUCCUUAGGGAGAAAGAGGGCUUAGCUUUGAUGCUCUCGCUAUUAGAUGAGCCUGCGUAAGAUUAGCUCGUUGGUGAGGUAAAGGCUCACCAAGGCUACGAUCUUUAGCUGGUCUGAGAGGACGAUCAGCCACAUUGGGACUGAGACACGGCCCAGACUCCUACGGGAGGCAGCAGUGGGGAAUAUUGGACAAUGGGCGCAAGCCUGAUCCAGCCAUACCGCGUGUGUGAAGAAGGCCUUCGGGUUGUAAAGCACUUUAAGUAAGGAAGAAAAGUAUAUUGUUAAUACCAAUGUACCGUGACAUUACUUACAGAAUAAGGACCGGCUAAUUCCGUGCCAGCAGCCGCGGUAAUACGGAAGGUCCAAGCGUUAAUCGGAAUUACUGGGCGUAAAGCGCGCGUAGGUGGUUUAUUAAGUUGGGUGUGAAAGCCCCGGGCUCAACCUGGGAACUGCAUCCAAAACUGAUUCACUAGAGUACGAAAGAGGGAGGUAGAAUUCACAGUGUAGCGGUGGAAUGCGUAGAUAUUGUGAAGAAUACCAAUGGCGAAGGCAGCCUCCUGGUUCUGUACUGACACUGAGGUGCGAAAGCGUGGGUAGCGAACAGGAUUAGAUACCCUGGUAGUCCACGCCGUAAACGAUGACAACCAGCUGUUGGGAAGCAAUGCUUUUCAGUGGCGCAGCUAACGUC